GGGGUUGUGGCUCGGUGGUAGAGCGCUUGCCUAGCAUGCGUGAGGCACUGGGUUCAAUUCCCAACACUG
rnacentral:tRNA from 1 species